rnacentral:lncRNA from 1 species
UAGAGAGAGAUGAGUUAAAGAGAGAAGUUGGAAUACAAGAGCGUUCUUUGGUCCCAAGUAUGAAGAGGAGCAACUUCGGUUACAUUAGCCUCUGGUUCCAGUUCCCUGCCACUAGGUGUCACUAAGUAAUCUAAUUAAAUACCAAUUUAUGACUCCAACAAAUGAGAAGACACGGAACGAAAUGAGGCAGAAAUAAAAAUUAAGGUCAUGUGGCCUAAAUAAAAUCCUGUAGCUUAUCUACAACAGCUAUUUCAAAACAGCGGGAUGAGUCCCUGGAACAUGAAUUGGAAAGUUCAUGAAUUAACAAGAACACACUGUGAGCUCCCUAAGGAUGAGGACCAGCUCCACAAAAACUCGAUGCUGCUGCCCUGCCACUUGGCUUCCAGCUCUGCUGUAGAGACCCUCUGUGGCCCUCAUGCGGUGCAGAACAAGUCAGGAGGCAAUUACUGAUUCCUCUGAGCACCCCCCUAGAAUUUUCUCCAACAUCAUUUCAGCAAGAGAUAAAACCGAUUGGCUGCAUCUUGAACGUUUUUUCACAAAUUAUAAUACCACCAGGGCACCUGGGUGGCCCAGUAGUGGUUGAACAUCUGCCUUCAGCCCAGGGCAUGACCCCGGAGUCCUGGGAUCGAGUCCUGCAUCAGGCUCCCCCCAGGGAGCCUGCUUCUCCCUCUUCCUGUGUCUCUGCCUCUCUCUCUGGGUCUCUCAUGAAUAAAUAAAUAAAAUCUUUUUUAAAAAUUGUAAGAUCACCAAGACUCCUGUUUUAGAGAUGCGGAAACUUAAUGUUUAGAGAAGUUAAAGUGGAUUAGGGCCACACAUCUCGUAAGUGGUGAAACCAGUUAACAAAUGUAAGAACCCCUAUUCUUUGCCCCUUGAAUAUAUCCAGUUUAUCUCAGCCCCAGAAGGAUCAAUUUUUAUUUUUUUAAUUUAUUUUAUUUUUUUUGAGGGAUCAAUUUUUAAAAACACAUUUCCUGCAAGAUAACUAUUUAAGUCAUUUCCAUUAAAGAGAAAAGAUAAUGAUUUUCUCCCUCAUGUGCUCUGACCUGGCUGCUGACAACUCAAUUUCCAGAGAAGAAGGAGAGUCCCAACUUCUGUAACUGACAGUCUCUUCCACCCCCAUCCAGACCUCAGGCUGUUCCGAACAUUCCUGAAUCAGAAAUUAAAUAUGGAGAAAUCUAAGUCAGUUGUGGAAAAAUCUAAGCUUAGCACUCACCAUGUCUUGUAGUUAGUGCUACGGGGUUCACUUCUGCAUGCACCUUAGAGGUGGGACAUCACUUUAAAAUAAUCAAUUUACUGAUAUAACAUGUCCAUUAC